rnacentral:rRNA from 1 species
UACGUAGGGGGCAAGCGUUGUCCGGAUUUAUUGGGCGUAAAGAGCGUGUAGGCGGCUUUACAGGUCCGCUGUGAAAACUCGAGGCUCAACCUCGAGCUGUCGGUGGAAACCGUAAGGCUAGAGUCCGGAAGAGGAGAGUGGAAUUCCCGGUGUAGCGGUGAAAUGCGCAGAUAUCGGGAAGAACACCCGUGGCGAAAGCGGCUCUCUGGAACGGUACUGACGCUGAGACGCGAAAGCGUGGGGAGCGAACAGG